rnacentral:rRNA from 1 species
AGGGGACUUCGGUCCCUGAGUAGAGUGGCGCACGGGUGAGUAACACGUGGAUAACCUGCCCUGAAGUCUGGGAUAACAUUUCGAAAGGGAUGCUAAUACCUGAUAAGCCUACGACCUCUUCGGGGGAUGUAGGAAAAGAUUUAUUGCUUCAGGAUGGGUCCGCGGUCCAUUAGCUAGUUGGUAGGGUAAUGGCCUACCAAGGCUACGAUGGAUAGCUGGUCUGAGAGGAUGAUCAGCCACACUGGAACUGAGACACGGUCCAGACUCCUACGGGAGGCAGCAGUGGGGAAUUUUGCGCAAUGGACGAAAGUCUGACGCAGCAACGCCGCGUGAAGGAUGAAGGCCCUUGGGUCGUAAACUUCUGUCAGUGGGGAAGAAAUGCCCGUAAGGGAGAUGACGGUACCCACAAAGGAAGCACCGGCUAACUCCGUGCCAGCAGCCGCGGUAAUACGGAGGGUGCAAGCGUUGUUCGGAAUUAUUGGGCGUAAAGCGCGUGUAGGCGGUCUGUUAAGUCUGGUGUGAAAGCCCUGGGCUCAACCCAGGAAGUGCAUUGGAUACUGGCAGACUUGAGUAUGGGAGAGGAAAGCGGAAUUCCGAGUGUAGGAGUGAAAUCCGUAGAUAUUCGGAGGAACACCAGUGGCGAAGGCGGCUUUCUGGACCAAUACUGACGCUGAGACGCGAAAGCGUGGGGAGCAAACAGGA